UACGAGGGGUGCAAGCGUUGCUCGGAAUUAUUGGGCGUAAAGGGUAGGUAGGUGGUCUCAUUUGUCUGUGGUGAAAUCCUGGAGCUCAACUCCAGAACUGCCUUUGAUACUGAGGAUCUUGAGUUCGGGAGAGGUGAGUGGAACUGCGAGUGUAGAGGUGAAAUUCGUAGAUAUUCGCAAGAACACCAGUGGCGAAGGCGGCUCACUGGCCCGAUACUGACGCUGAGGAGCGAAAGCGUGGGGAGCAAACAGG
rnacentral:rRNA from 1 species